rnacentral:rRNA from 1 species
CAGUCGCCGCGGGAAUACGUAGGGUGCAAGCGUUAAUCGGAAUUACUGGGCGUAAAGCGUGCGCAGGCGGUUAUAUAAGACAGAUGUGAAAUCCCCGGGCUCAACCUGGGAACUGCAUUUGUGACUGUAUAGCUAGAGUACGGCAGAGGGGGAUGGAAUUCCGCGUGUAGCAGUGAAAUGCGUAGAUAUGCGGAGGAACACCGAUGGCGAAGGCAAUCCCCUGGGCCUGUACUGACGCUCAUGCACGAAAGCGUGGGUAGCAAACAGGAUUAGAGACCCCUGUAGUCCCUGUCUCUUAUAC